rnacentral:tRNA from 1 species
GGUAGGCUAGUCCAAACCAAGACAAUUGAUUUCGGCUCAAUAAAUUAUGGCUCAAACCCAUAGCCUUCCU